GGCCCGGUAGCGGACGGUUUCCGCACCUGCUUCCUAUUCUUCGGGUUUCAGGGACGUUUCAGCAGGAGUCACUCGUUCGACUCGAGCCUGGGCCA